rnacentral:misc_RNA from 1 species
AUUUAGCAAGAAAACUCUUUUGCUAUACAUACCAUACAGCAUAUUGAAAGCCAGAAAUCGGACAAUUCGUGGGCAAUGUUUCUUUAACCAUCUGAAAUUCGAUUUAGUCAAGACUCAAUAGGAAACACUUUUGGUCAUUAUACGAACCAUCCAUAUAAACCUGUUGGAGAAACACUAAACGACAUCACCUCUGGCAGUGUAAACUCCCUACCAGAUAUUUCUGUGACUAUGAUAAACGGGUUCUGGUAUACAGCGGACAACAGACGGCUCUGGGUAUUACAACAAGCCAAACAAUGUGUGGAAAUUGCCGAUAUUUAUAUGUCUUUGAUAGAUGAAAUAAACCCAAACAAAUUUACGACUGAAAACGAUGGGAUCUUCGUUAAAGUUAGGGGGACCCGGGAGGUCGGUUGUGUAAAAGAAUUCUGGACCCAGAUGGUAUCUUUUGGAAAGAGAGCGACUUUUGUGUCACCUCCUCUUUAACGCAGAGUCCAACUGUCGUCCAAAGUCCAACUGAUGUCUGCAAUGUUGCUGAAACUCGGAGUCUAGAAGGGGACAAACGCCGAAAUAAAAGAAUAUGCUGUGGAAUUAUAUUUGGUGUAAUAUUACUUUUUACAGUUGCGAUAAUCCUUAUCGUAACAUUGGCAUAAACAACGGAGAAUUUUUAAUUCUAAAGAAAAGUUGAGAUUGUUUUUUACUUCUUUUCCCUAUACAGUACAUAAUUAUUUUACACUUUGAAAUUAUAUUACCACAUGGAAAACGUUGAAAAUGUCUUUUUCUGCAGGAAUUAUAUUAUUUUUUGAAAUUAAUAUCAUGCAUUUCUUUUAUGAAAGAAAUUGUAUUCACAAG